rnacentral:rRNA from 1 species
UGUUUUUUGAAAAUAUAUAAAAAAUAAAUCUCCUGCCCAAUGUAAAAUAAAUGGCUGCGGUAUCCUAACCGUACAAAGGUAGCAUAAUAAAUUGCCCAUUAAUUGUGGGAUAGAAUGAAUGGAAUAAUGAGAAAGAAACUGUCCCAUAAGUAAAAAAGAAAACUAACAUUCUAGUGAAGAGGCUAAAAUUAAAUUAUAGGACAAGAAGACCCUAUAGAGCUUAAAUUAAAAUAUUAAACUAAUAUCUCCAUUUAGGUUGGGGCGACCAAAAAUAAAAACACUUAAAAUUUAAAGAUUUACAAAUCUAAAAUAAAGAUCCUAAAAAGAUCAUAGCACAAAGUUACCUUAGGGAUAACAGGCUAAUCCUAUUAAAGAGUCCAUAUCUACAAUAGGGAUUGGCACCUCGAUGUUGGCUUAGAAAAUCUCUAUAAACGCAACAGUUAUAAAAGUAGGUUUGUUCAACCUAUAAUAUUCU